AAAUGAAGCAGUUGCCCCACUACAUUCUGAACGACUGAAAAACUGUGGAAGCAGAGGCAUCAGUAGGAUAGAGGGCUAUUGCAUCCAGCAGUCAGAAUGUUCUACAAUAAUUCCACGGCCUCAGCUCAUUUUCAGGUUCUUGUGUCUGACGUUCUGCCUCUCUUACUUCUCAGGUGCCUGAUUUCUUUUGCCUCGCCUGAGAACAGGUCUGUUUUGCUCAAUGUCCUACAAUAUUUGAUAGAACUGGAUUCAAAUAUGGUGCAUCAUCACCUGAUUCCCCUAUCGAUCAUAUGCAGGUCUGAAACUAAAGGUGCCAUGGAAUUGUCUCCCAUAUAAUUCUGAAGGUGCUUGAUCUACUCUCUCUUAAUCCCAAGACUUGUCAUUCAGAGGUCACCAUCCUCUUAGAAGGAAGAAUCAGUAAUAGAAAACAGAAGUAAUAGACUCACUCCUGCAUAGUAAGUCUCUCUGUAUUAGUGAUCAGAAGUAAGGGGCAGCUCCAUUGGCCUGUUACCUUGGAUCAUCAUGAGUAAAAACAUUCGGAUGGUAGAAAGUAGAGGGAAAUGAUUGGCAAUUAAAGGCCUAGAAGUAAUUUUCUUUGGAAUUUUUUUUUCUCCUUCUCAUCUUUCAAGUUGAUGUGGACAUUUCUCUUUGAAUGGCGCAGCCAAUAGGUGAGUUGAUUCUUGGUGAUAAUCAUAGAUAAGGUUAAUCUCAGGAUUAGGUUAAAAAAAAAAAGAGGGGGAAUAAGCACUUUCUCCCUAAAUAUUUCCUACUGAAAUAAUCACUGUUGCAAUCACAGAAUGUCUCCUAUAACUCUUUGAAAUGAUUGAAGUGAGCCCUCACAUUCUUUCUGGCAAGGUGAAUUCCUGGGUACAUUUCACAAAGUAGAACUUCCAACCGCAUUGGCAUUUCCAAGAAUAUAUCUGGAAAAAAACAAAUGAAUCUUAACUCUCUAAGAGCUCUUUGUCUGUUUUUAACCAGUGGUGAGAAAUAUAAGUGGGGACAGUGAAGAACAACCUGUACCAUACAUAUUGGACAGUCUUCAGUUUUGAGAGCUGGAAAGCCUUUAGAGAUCAUCUAACUCAGGUCUGAGAAAGAUGAGGAAACUUGCCCAUUCUCUAUCUAUCAUAAAGACUGGCAGCUCCUUCUCACCACUUUUCCAUUUCUUAGGCCAAAGUUCUGUUCCUCAUUCGUAUUUUCUCACAAUGCCUUCUGGCAUUUGUGCCACUACUAAGACUAUAUGCUUCAGUGCAAGUGGAAGGAAAUGUAACAUGAGCUCUACCUAAGUUAUAUGGACAAAAAUACUUAAAUAGGAUGCACGUAGUGAUAUUUGUCCCCUUUAAGAGAAAAUUAAACACAAGAAUUCAGUUUCUUUCGGUUUUAAAUCUUAAGUUUGUUCUCUAAAAUCCUCUUUCUCUAGAUUUCCAUGACUAUUUAAAAGAUGACAAAUUUGGAUGGAGCAGGAAAAAGUUCCCAUGGAAUAGAUUAGAGAGUGUUAAUAUGCUAAAGUAGAAAGAAAAUAUUGUAGAAUUAGCAAUACAUGACUAAGGUUCUGUAAAGUCUGCUCUUCAUACCAGCACCAGCUCACCAGUACCUUCCACUGACCAUGUAUUUCCUUGUAACUCCAUUGGGUGUGAUAUUCAGAGUGUCCAAGAUCAUCUAUCAUCUUGUUGGACUUCUUCACAGCCCCUCUGCUUCCUGGCUGAGUUAUUUAUGUAACAUUAUUCCACAAGGGAAAGCCCAGCUGUUAAAGUUUUAGAAACAGGAAUAAGAACACAUUUUUAUUGGAUCUUUCAUCUUGUCUACAAUGUGUUUUUCUUGGUUUAAAUAAUGAUAACACCAUACUAGCUCCUCCACUAUAACUCACUCUCCUCUACGUGUCUUUGGAGGGGAGAAUGCCCUUGUUGUACUUCUGGGGUUCCAGAAUGAGGCUUAUACAAAACUGAAUCUGAAAUCAAUAUGUGGGAUUGUAUAGUCACCUGGGGAGUUUGAACUCAUAGACCUGGGAUAGGCACUGCAGAGGUGAAAAUGAUAGAAAUAAAUUAUUAAUAAAUUGGUGGGAGCA
ensembl:lncRNA